rnacentral:rRNA from 1 species
CGCGGCCUAUCAGCUUGUUGGUGGGGUAAUGGCCCACCAAGGCUUCGACGGGUAGCCGGCCUGAGAGGGUGAACGGCCACAUUGGGACUGAGAUACGGCCCAGACUCCUACGGGAGGCAGCAGUGGGGAAUAUUGCACAAUGGGCGCAAGCCUGAUGCAGCGACGCCGCGUGGGGGAUGAAGGCCUUCGGGUUGUAAACUCCUUUCGCUAGGGACGAAGCUUUGUUGUGACGGUACCUAGAUAAGAAGCACCGGCUAACUACGUGCCAGCAGCCGCGGUAAUACGUAGGGUGCGAGCGUUGUCCGGAAUUACUGGGCGUAAAGGGCUCGUAGGUGGUUUGUCGCGUCGUCUGUGAAAUUCUGGGGCCUAACUCCGGGCGUGCAGGCGAUACGGGCAUAACUUGAGUGCUGUAGGGGUAACUGGAAUUCCUGGUGUAGCGGUGAAAUGCGCAUAUAUCAGGAGGAACACCGAUGGCGAAGGCAGGUUACUGGGCAGUUACUGACGCUGAGGAGCGAAAGCAUGGGUAGCGAACAGGAUUACAUACCCUGGUAGUCCAUGCCGUAGACGGUGGGCGCUAGGUGUGAGGGUCUUUCUACUACUUUCGUGCCGUAACUAACGCAUUAAGUGCCCCGCCUGGGGAGUACGG